rnacentral:lncRNA from 1 species
CCUUCUUCCUUCUCUCUACUCACAUGACCAUUCAACUAUCUCUACUCAUGAUUUUUUCCUUUGAUUCAAAGGAUUUUCUAUGUAAAUUUUGAGUUUGUAUUGAUCUUUGUUUUCUUCGAUUUCUCUUUUAUUUGACAUCUUGCUACGACAAAUUGGUAUCAGAGCCCAGUUGUAGAUCGUUGAUCGAAGAUGUCUGUGGCCAAUAGA